AGGUUCCGCAGAAAGCGCAGCGGAGCCAGAGCAAGCGCUCAGCGCCGGACAGAAAGCACUUGGGUGGAUGGAGCGCCUCAGGCUGUGCUUGUAAUUUUAGGAGACAGAGUGCACGGGGAUGAACUUAAAGGCCUCGGAGAACCCAGCAGAGUGUGCCGCCAAGAAACAAGACAAUUGAUUCCUGGAGAGAAUGGAACCGGUGUCACCUAUGCCCAGCCUCAGCAUGCAUUCUAAGAAGGCAGAGAGGUUAAGCCCUCAGCUCCUGCACCAUCUCCUUGGACUCCUGAAGCCCAGGCCUGUCUGAGUGACACUCUGCUGUGACCCACUCUGGAUCUUCAGUCUCUGGGCUCCUCUACUGCUACACUGUUAAACUGGAAGCCAACCACCAUCACCAUCAGCAGCCAGGUACUGGGAACUGGUUCCCCACUGGUGUCCUCAUUCUGGAAUGAUGAUGGCCACACCACCUAAAGCUUGCCUUUACGAAGUCACCUGUGUUAUGCAUUAUGUAUGGACUCAAGAGGCCAGGGCUGGAUGCCAGCAAGGUGACUUCUCUUAACCCGUUGUACCGUAGAGCCAAUAGAAUUUGCUGAGUGAGCUCUGAAGGGGCAGCUGAGAGAUGCUCAGAAUCUUGUCCUGGGCCAAUGGGCAAAUGGGAAGUGGAUCCUUGAUGUGUAGAGACCUAGAGAGGACAGCUGGUUCUUGCUGGUCUUCAGCUUCUAUGAGGUCUCAUCAGUUUGGGGGUCCCUUGGUCCUUCCAUAAGGUCGGGGAUUCCCUGCUCCCAUUGCUUCCUCCACAGGGGCGAGGGCAGCAUGUCUGUAGGUCUGUCUCCUUCCCUACUCCAGUCACAGGAGUCCUUCCUUUGACCAAUGUGUGUUGCUUCAGACCGCAGUACUGAGGAGACCGCGUUUUAUCCCAAGGAUCACGUUUCUGAAGAGUUGGAAUCACAGACAGAAAUACCAACAGUCGUUCGUUGGUGAUGUUUCUCCAUCGUCUAAGUUUGGAGGGCUCUCAGAUGAACUACCAGAAAGUGACUGGAAUGUCUCUGAAGCUGAGAGCCUGCUCCAGCCCCUCUGCCGGUAGGGAAACCUCAAGCCAGUGACCAUGUUCCUCAGGAGCCCCUUAGGGGAGAAGGGUCUGAUUUGUAAUGUUUUUGACAAAAACUUCAGCUUGAGCCCAAGGCCAUCAGAGUGUCAGGGAAUCUCUACAGAAGAGAGGCCACGUCCAUGCUACACCUCAGAGAACUUUCAGCACAAUGGAGCCCUAACUGGCCAGGAGGGGCUUCCUACAAUUGAAAGCCCAUUCAUAUAUACUGCGUGUGGGAAAGCGGUCAGGGGAAGCCUUGACAUUGGUCAGCAUCGGGAAGCCAACUCGGGAGAGGUCUUUAAUGUGUUCUGAAUGUGGAAAGGCCUUUAGCCAAAACUCUGUUCUUAAAAACCACUGGUAGGGGCUGGUGAGAUGGCUCAGCAGGUAAGAGCACCCGACUGCUCUUCCGAAGGUCCGGAGUUCAAAUCCCAGCAACCACAUGGUGGCUCACAACCAUCCCUUACGAGAUCUGACUCCCUCUUCUGGAGUGUCUGAAGACAGCUACAGUGCACUUACAUAUAAUAAAUAAAUAAAAAAAAUUUAAAAAAAAAAAAAAA